rnacentral:rRNA from 1 species
AGGAUGAACGCUAGCGGCAGGCUUAACACAUGCAAGUCGAGGGGCAUCGGGAGGGAAGCUUGCUUUCCUUGCCGGCGACCGGCGCACGGGUGAGUAACACGUAUGCAACCUGCCCUCUUCAGGGGGACAACCUUCCGAAAGGGAGGCUAAUCCCGCGUAUAUCGGUUUCGGGCAUCCGAGAUCGAGGAAAGAUUCAUCGGAAGAGGAUGGGCAUGCGGCGCAUUAGCUAGACGGCGGGGUAACGGCCCACCGUGGCGACGAUGCGUAGGGGUUCUGAGAGGAAGGUCCCCCACACUGGUACUGAGACACGGACCAGACUCCUACGGGAGGCAGCAGUGAGGAAUAUUGGUCAAUGGGAGAGAUCCUGAACCAGCCAAGCCGCGUGAGGGAAGACGGCCCUAUGGGUUGUAAACCUCUUUUGUCGGAGAACAAAACCCGGGACGUGUCCCGGACUGCGUGUAUCCGAAGAAAAAGCAUCGGCUAACUCCGUGCCAGCAGCCGCGGUAAUACGGAGGAUGCGAGCGUUAUCCGGAUUUAUUGGGUUUAAAGGGUGCGUAGGCGGUCCGUUAAGUCAGCGGUAAAAUUGCGGGGCUCAACCCCGUCGAGCCGUUGAAACUGGCAGACUUGAGUUGGCGAGAAGUACGCGGAAUGCGCGGUGUAGCGGUGAAAUGCAUAGAUAUCGCGCAGAACUCCGAUUGCGAAGGCAGCGUACCGGCGCCAGACUGACGCUGAGGCACGAAAGCGUGGGGAUCGAACAGGAUUAGAUACCCUGGUAGUCCACGCAGUAAACGAUGAAUGCUGGUUGUCCGGGUCGAAUGAGACCUGGGCGGCGAAGCGAAAGCGAUAAGCAUUCCACCUGGGGAGUACGCCGGCAACGGUGAAACUCAAAGGAAUUGACGGGGGCCCGCACAAGCGGAGGAACAUGUGGUUUAAUUCGAUGAUACGCGAGGAACCUUACCCGGGCUCAAACGGGAGUGGAAUGGACCAGAGACGGUUCAGCCUACGGGCCGCUUCCGAGGUGCUGCAUGGUUGUCGUCAGCUCGUGCCGUGAGGUGUCGGCUUAAGUGCCAUAACGAGCGCAACCCCCGCCGGCAGUUGCUAACGGGCAAUGCCGAGGACUCUGCCGGGACUGCCGCCGCAAGGCGUGAGGAAGGCGGGGAUGACGUCAAAUCAGCACGGCCCUUACGUCCGGGGCGACACACGUGUUACAAUGGGCGGUACAGCGGGAAGCCAGGCGGCGACGCCGAGCGGAACCCGAAAGCCGUUCUCAGUUCGGAUCGGAGUCUGCAACCCGACUCCGUGAAGCUGGAUUCGCUAGUAAUCGCGCAUCAGCCAUGGCGCGGUGAA